AUUGAACGCUGGCGGAAUGCUUUACACAUGCAAGUCGAACGGCAGCACGGGGGCAACCCUGGUUGCGAGUGGCGAACGGGUGAGUAAUACAUCGGAACGUGCCCGGUCGUGGGGGAUAACGUAGCGAAAGUUACGCUAAUACCGCAUACGAUCUGAGGAUGAAAGCGGGGGACCUUCGGGCCUCGCGCGAUCGGAGCGGCCGAUGUCAGAUUAGGUAGUUGGUGGGGUAAAGGCCUACCAAGCCGACGAUCUGUAGCUGGUCUGAGAGGACGACCAGCCACACUGGGACUGAGACACGGCCCAGACUCCUACGGGAGGCAGCAGUGGGGAAUUUUGGACAAUGGGCGCAAGCCUGAUCCAGCCAUUCCGCGUGCAGGACGAAGGCCUUCGGGUUGUAAACUGCUUUUGUAUGGAACGAAAAGGCUCUGGCUAAUACCUGGGGCUCAUGACGGUACCGUAAGAAUAAGCACCGGCUAACUACGUG
rnacentral:rRNA from 1 species